rnacentral:rRNA from 1 species
GAUGAACGCUGGCGGCGUGCCUAAUACAUGCAAGUAGAACGCUGAAGGAGGAGCUUGCUCUUCUGGAUGAGUUGCGAACGGGUGAGUAACGCGUAGGUAACCUGCCUGGUAGCGGGGGAUAACUAUUGGAAACGAUAGCUAAUACCGCAUGACAACAGUUAUUGCAUGAUAACUGUUUAAAAGGGGCAACUGCUCCACUACCAGAUGGACCUGCGUUGUAUUAGCUAGUUGGUGAGGUAACGGCUCACCAAGGCGACGAUACAUAGCCGACCUGAGAGGGUGAUCGGCCACACUGAGACUGAGACACGGCCCAGACUCCUACGGGAGGCAGCAGUAGGGAAUCUUCGGCAAUGGACGGAAGUCUGACCGAGCAACGCCGCGGGAGUGAAGAAGGUUUUCGGAUCGUAAAGCUCUGUUGUAAGAGAAGAACGAGUGUGAGAGUGGAAAGUUCACACUGUGACGGUAUCUUACCAGAAAGGGACGGCUAACUACGUG